CACACACACACACACACACACGGUGAGCCACGAUGGACACCAGGCUGUCCUUACUCAUGAUGUUUCUAAAGUCAUUAUUGCCCGCGCCCGGAGCCUCCCUCAGCCCAGGCCUGGACCCACGCUGCCCCGCCCAUACUACCAUCUCGGAGGAUGAUGAAUGGGCGAACAUUGGCACACUGCAAAAUCUGAAGCUCGGCUGGGGCAUGGACUUGUUCGUGCACCCCGACCCAGGCUUCAAGGGGGUUAGGCUCGUGGCGGCGGGCGAUGGCUGGCAGCAGGACGCCUGGUUCACGCUGGACAACACUUGCUUCCCUCUGGACGCACGGUGGUGGAGGUUGUGGGGAGGUGUAUGGGGAAGCAGGAACGAUGACAACAACAAUGAUGGCUUUCUUGGGUUUGUUGUACGGACUGGUGACUGUUAUCUUAGGUGCCGCAGAACAGGCCACUUCCUUAAUGCCAUGAAUGUUACUGUUGUGGCUCACGGGCCCUCAAGGUGGAUAUUAAAGUACCCGCGGCAAUGCACUGUAGAAGAAUACAAACAAGACAGAUACUCAUGGAUAAACUGCACCUCCCACCCCACCACCACCACCCCUACAACCACCACCACCACCACCACCACCCCUACCACCACCACCACCACCACCAUCGCCAUCAUAGUCGUGCCCGUGAUGAUUGGUGUUGCUGUUGUUGUUGUUCUGCUAGUGGUGCUGACGAAGUGUUACUGGCAGCGAAGGGUAAAUCCAGAUGUGAGGAUGCGAUUCCAAAGCGUCCCGGCGUCCGCCAGCGAGAGCGUGGUGGUCGAGAACAGCCUGUACAAGACCUUGGACAACACCCGCGGGACCGAGGUGGUCGAGAACAGCCUGUACGAGACCUUGGACAACACCCGCGGGACCGAGGUGGUCGAGAACAGCCUGUACGAGACCUUGGACAACACCCGCGGGACCGAGGUGGUCGAGAACAGCCUGUACGAGCCCUUUGAAAACGUGAGGAAGCCGCGGUAAGGGAGAAGGAAAUGGAAGAGGGAGAUGAGCAGCAAGCGUGAAAACAUGGCAGCAAAAGCCUGUCGGUUCAUCACGAAGCUGAUUCUCUUUUUUUUUUUUCUACGUUGAGGCCUAUUGCGCCGGCAGGCUUCUUCCCGGUGGAUUCUGAUGGUCGGUCCAAGGCUUCUUCCCGGUGGGUCCUGAUGGUCGGCCCAGCCCGUUCUGGCGCAGGCGAGUGUUUAUAUUGGCGCCAUCUUGCAUUGGCUCAUGCUGCCCUCCCGGAGCUCAUCUUUAAUCCUAGAAUCUAGAGUCCGGGUUGAUAGGUGGUCUUCUGGACAGCAUGUGGGUAGUUUUAAGCCACUCGGCGGCGGCUGAAAAAUCCCAGCUUGGUGGCACCGGGCGGGGAUUGACCUCGCGUCCUCCUGAACGCGGGGCCGUCUUGCUAUCCAUUCAGCCACUGCCUACCUUUAGCGACAGUGUUAAUCAGUUCGUCACCACUUGAGUGACCUGCGGGUAUGGGGUGGGCGUGGCGACGCACCCCCGGUUUAUGUCCCCAUUGAUUGGCUGAUUGGCGCAUCGUUUGAAGAAAGGGGAGGAGGACGAAAAAGAAGAAGAAGAAGAAGAAGAAGAAGAAGAAGAAGAAGAAGAAGAAGAAGAAGAAGAAGAGGAGGAGGAGGAGGAGGAGGAGGAGGAGGAGGAGGAGGAGGAGGGUGAGAUUUAUAACGCGGUUGCCUGCCUUAUUACUGGUUCAAAAUGUUAGGCGGGGACUUGAGGGGACACGGAAAAGUUUAUCACGUUUGAACGCGGCCAUGGGGACGUUGAGGCGCUGACGUGUGCUGAGAAUGAUGACGAGAAGAAGAAGAAGAAGAAGAAGAAGACGACAACAACGACGACGACGACGACGACGACGACGACGACGACGAAGAAGAAGAAGAAGAAGAAGAAGAAGAAGAAGAAGAAGAAGAAGAAGAAGAAGAAAAGCCUAAGUAGCAACACUGCUGUGUGUUCAGUCUUGUCAGACAAGUGUGGUCAGUACACUCAGUGGGUUCAAAAUCCAUAACGGGCGUAUUAAACAACGGAAGAUGAGGGUUUGGCCGGCAUUAUAACAGCCAAUGAUAUAGUUCAUGAAAUGGCCUGUACUACACAGGGUUGGGUCCGAAUACAUGGACUUGGACUUGGCCUUAGUACAUAGCAAAGUGACUGUACUUGUACUUGAAAAAUAUCCAGGUACUUGGACUUGGACUUAAGUCUUAAGUAUUAAAACUUAAGUCGCCAGUACUUGGACCCAACCCCUGGUAUUACACAUGUAUUAUAUAUGAAUAUUCUUUGAUGUCAAUAUAUGAAUAUGAUGCCGUAUGACAGGAAUGUGACUAUGUGGUACGAUAAUGUAUGUGGUAUGAUUAAGUAACUAAGAAUAUAAUAUUAAUAUGAUGUGAUUCCUUAUAUAUAUAAUAUGAGUAAGAAAUGAAUAUGACUAGCCACCCUAUGACUGGGAUGUGAUAGGCUGUUAUCAAUAUGAAUGUGAUGUGAUUAUAUAAGAACAUAAGAACAUAAGAACGUAGGAGUCUGCAAGAGACCGGUAAGCCUGUACAAGGCAGCUCCUCUGAACCUAAGCUCCCGUGUAUCUAACCCCACCUAUUAUCGCUGUCCGUGAAUUUAUCUAAUCUAUUUUUGAAUGUGACAAUUCUAUUGGCACUCACCACAUGACUGCUAAGCCUAUUCCACUCAUUCACCACUCUGUUAGUAAACCAAUUUUUGCCUAUGUCCCUGUUGAAUCUGAAUUUAUCCAGUUUAAACCCAUUACUUCGUGUCCUACCUGGUUCUCAUACCAACAAAACCUUAUGAAUAUCCCCCUUAUUAAAGCCCUUCAUCCAUUUAUAAACCUCGAUCAUGUCUCCACGCACCCUUCGCCUUUCUAGAGAGAGCAAGUUUAACUGUUUGAAUCUUUCCUCGUAUGGCAAGUUUCUCAACCCCUGAAUCAUCUUAGUCAUCUUCCUCCUCACCGAUUCUAACAUUUUGAUG